rnacentral:rRNA from 1 species
ACGAGAUUUAUGACUUCGGUUAUAAUGAAAGUGGCGCACGGGUGCGUAACGCGUAUGCAACCUACCUUUUACAGGGGGAUAGCCCGGGGAAACUCGGAUUAAUACCCCAUGGUAUCAUAAAAUCGCAUGGUUUAAUGAUUAAAGAUUUAUCGGUAAAAGAUGGGCAUGCGUCUGAUUAGCUAGAUGGUGAGGUAAAGGCUCACCAUGGCGAUGAUCAGUAGGGGUUCUGAGAGGAUGAUCCCCCACACUGGUACUGAGACACGGACCAGACUCCUACGGGAGGCAGCAGUAGGGAAUAUUGGUCAAUGGGCGAGAGCCUGAACCAGCCAUGCCGCGUGUAGGAUGACGGCCUUCUGGGUUGUAAACUACUUUUCUACAGGAAGAAAACGGCUAUGCGUAGCCCAUUGACGGUACUGUAGGAAUAAGCACCGGCUAACUCCGUGCCAGCAGCCGCGGUAAUACGGAGGGUGCGAGCGUUGUCCGGAUUUAUUGGGUUUAAAGGGUGCGUAGGUGGCUAUUUAAGCCAGUGGUGAAAGCCCAUCGCUUAACGAUGGAACUGCCAUUGGAACUGAAUAGCUUGAGUAUCGUUGAAGUAGGCGGAAUUUAUGGUGUAGCGGUGAAAUGCAUAGAUACCAUAAAGAACACCGAUAGCGUAGGCAGCUUGCUAAGCGAUAACUGACACUGAGGCACGAAAGCAUGGGGAGCGAACAGGAUUAGAUA